rnacentral:rRNA from 1 species
UAGGGAAUCUUCGGCAAUGGACGAAAGUCUGACCGAGCAACGCCGCGUGAGUGAAGAAGGUUUUCGGAUCGUAAAACUCUGUUGUUAGAGAAGAACAAGGACGUUAUUAACUGAACGUCCCCUGACGGUAUCUAACCAGAAAGCCACGGCUAACUACGUGCCAGCAGCCGCGGUAAUACGUAGGUGGCAAGCGUUGUCCGGUUUUAUUGGGCGUAAAGCGAGCGCAGGCGGUUCCUUAAGUCUGCUGUGAAAGCCCCCGGCUCAACCGGGGAGGGUCAUUUGAAACUGGGAGACUUGAGUGCAGAAGCGGGGAGUAGAAUUCCAUGUGUAGCGGUGAAAUGCGUAGAUAUAUGGAGGAACACCAGUGGCGAAGGCGGCUCUCUGGUCUGUAACUGACGCUGAGGCUCGAAAGCGUGGGGAGCAAACAGG